rnacentral:lncRNA from 1 species
UUACGUGUGUUCUCUGGAGAUCGCUCAAGAAGGGGAAACAAGGGGGAAACCCUAAAUUCUGCAAAUUAGCAAAAUUGAAAGGGAAAUCAAGGCCAAAUCACAUGCAUGAACUCGAAACCUUAACUAUCUAAGCUAGUACAACAAGCGGCGUUAAGGAAGAAAGUUCGAGUCAAGUGAAGCAACAAGGGGAUCAAGACCGAGGUAAAUCUCAUGUCUAGCUAUCAAGCUUUGCCCGGUUCGAACACGCCUCAAGCCCGUCAAGCGUUCCGCAUUUUGUAAAAGUCAAUGUUUAAUACUUUGUCACUUAUGUCUACGGGACCGCUCGUUUUGCAAACGGGUCAUGCCCAAAUUUUGUUAGAAAAGUACGUUGUUAUUUAAUAAAUUUAAAAAGAAAAAUAUGGACGUUACAUAAAUAUAUCCACCACAUGUUAGAAUCUGAAUUUCAGUGUAUCAUAUAUCCACCUAUAAUCUAAUAUGGAUGUCAAUGUCUAUGCAGUAAAGUGGUUUAAUCUAAGUAGUCAUGAAUGGAGGUAUAAUCACGGUAUACAUCACUUAGAAGAUACUGGGUGUUCAUUUAACACAGAAAGAGCUAGACGAGCGUAGAAAUACAUGGGGCUACUCCACAUACAAGGCCGGAAAAGGUGUAGUUGGCUAUUUCUUCAAAACAAAUAUAGUGGGGUAGAAGACAGUUGAAUGAGAGAAGGUUCAAGCUCAAAGAGAAGACAAGAUUAAGAAAACUAUAUAUGUUCCGACAUAGAUCUUAAUGUCACUAAAAGAUAAACUUGCUGCUCUGUUUAGCACCUAUGGCCAUUUCGUGCGAACCUGCCCAUCCGUCCGUGGUGUACUGGAAAUGGUAUAAUAGUGAUGUGAAGUUUACAACAAGAAAAAGUUUAAGAAACCGAAUUAAAAAGUUAUGGUGGAGAAAAGGGGGAUACUUUAGAGGUUAAAAGUGUUAUUUUUAUACUUUUAUUGGUUGUGAAUUAAAUUUUCCUACCCGGAAAAUUUCCGGGUGAUAACCUAGUAUAUAUUUAAUAUACAAU